CCUACGGGCGACAGCAGUGAGGAAUAUUGGUCAAUGGUCGUAAGACUGAACCAGCCAAGUAGCGUGCAGGAUGACGGCCCUAUGGGUUGUAAACUGCUUUUAUGCGGGGAUAAAAUCCGUCACGUGUGAUUGUUUGUAGGUACCGCAUGAAUAAGGACCGGCUAAUUCCGUGCCAGCAGCCGCGGUAAUACGGAGGGUCCGGGCGUUAUCCGGAUUUAUUGGGUUUAAAGGGUGCGUAGGCGGCCGGUUAAGCGUGCCGUGAAAUUCCGUGGCUCAACCAUGGCACUGCGGCGCGAACUGGUCUGCUUGAGUGCGCGGAAGGUAGGCGGAAUGCGUGGUGUAGCGGUGAAAUGCUUAGAGAUCACGCAGAACUCCGAUUGCGAAGGCAGCAUACGGAAGUGCUACUGACGCUGAAGCUCGAAGGCGUGGGUAGCGAACAGGAUUAGAUACCCGAGUAGUC
rnacentral:rRNA from 1 species